rnacentral:rRNA from 1 species
AACUGGUGAGUAACACGGGGGAAACCUGCCCACAAGCGGGGGAUAACACGUGGAAACAGAUGCUAAUACCGCAUAACAACUUGGACCGCAUGGUCCAAGUUUGAAAGAUGGCUUCGGCUAUCACUUUUGGAUGGUCCCGCGGCGUAUUAGCUAGAUGGUGGGGUAACGGCUCACCAUGGCAAUGAUACGUAGCCGACCUGAGAGGGUAAUCGGCCACAUUGGGACUGAGACACGGCCCAAACUCCUACGGGAGGCAGCAGUAGGGAAUCUUCCACAAUGGACGAAAGUCUGAUGGAGCAACGCCGCGUGAGUGAAGAAGGGUUUCGGCUCGUAAAACUCUGUUGUUAAAGAAGAACAUAUCUGAGAGUAACUGUUCAGGUAUUGACGGUAUUUAACCAGAAAGCCACGGCUAACUACGUGCCAGCAGCCGCGGUAAUACGUAGGUGGCAAGCGUUGUCCGGAUUUAUUGGGCGUAAAGCGAGCGCAGGCGGUUUUUUAAGUCUGAUGUGAAAGCCUUCGGCUCAACCGAAGAAGUGCAUCGGAAACUGGGAAACUUGAGUGCAGAAGAGGACAGUGGAACUCCAUGUGUAGCGGUGAAAUGCGUAGAUAUAUGGAAGAACACCAGUGGCGAAGGCGGCUGUCUGGUCUGUAACUGACGCUGAGGCUCGAAAGUAUGGGUAGCAAACAGGAUUAGAUACCCUGGUAGUCCAUACCGUAAACGAUGAAUGCUAAGUGUUGGAGGGUUUCCGCCCUUCAGUGCUGCAGCUAACGCAUUA